rnacentral:rRNA from 1 species
GGUUAAGCGACUAAGCGUACACGGUGGAUGCCCUGGCAGUCAGAGGCGAUGAAGGACGUGCUAAUCUGCGAUAAGCGUCGGUGAGGUGAUAUGAACCGUUAUAACCGGCGAUUUCCGAAUGGGGAAACCCAGUGUGUUUCGACACACUAUCAUUAACUGAAUCCAUAGGUUAAUGAGGCGAACCGGGGGAACUGAAACAUCUAAGUACCCCGAGGAAAAGAAAUCAACCGAGAUUCCCCCAGUAGCGGCGAGCGAACGGGGAGGAGCCCAGAGCCUGAAUCAGUGUGUGUGUUAGUGGAAGCGUCUGGAAAGGCGUGCGAUACAGGGUGACAGCCCCGUACACAAAAAUGCACAUAUUGUGAGCUCGAUGAGUAGGGCGGGACACGUGGUAUCCUGUCUGAAUAUGGGGGGACC